rnacentral:rRNA from 1 species
UACGUAGGGUGCGAGCGUUAAUCGGAAUUACUGGGCGUAAAGCGUGCGCAGGCGGUUCUGAAAGUCAGCUGUGAAAGCCCCGGGCUUAACCUGGGAAUUGCGGUUGAAACUACAGGGCUAGAAUCUGGCAGAGGGGGGUGGAAUUCCACGGUGUAGCAGUGAAAUGCGUAGAGAUGUGGAGGAACACCGAUGGCGAAGGCAGCCCCCUGGGCUGAGAUUGACGCUCAGGCACGAAAGCGUGGGGAGCAACAGG